UGAACUCUCUGACCUUAGGAACCUGAUUUCAAACGGUGGAUAGAUUCCAUAGCAACAGUCUAGCACCAUUUGAAAUCAGUGUUCCUAGUUCAAGAA